AACGAACGCUGGCGGCAGGCUUAACACAUGCAAGUCGAGCGCCCCGCAAGGGGAGCGGCAGACGGGUGAGUACCGCGUGGGAACGUACCUUUUGGUUCGGAACAACUCCGGGAAACUGGAGCUAAUACCGGAUAAGCCCUAACGGGGAAAGAUUUAUCGCCGAAAGAUCGGCCCGCGUCUGAUUAGCUAGUUGGUGAGGUAACGGCUCACCAAGGCGACGAUCAGUAGCUGGUCUGAGAGGAUGAUCAGCCACACUGGGACUGAGACACGGCCCAGACUCCUACGGGAGGCAGCAGUGGGGAAUAUUGGACAAUGGGCGCAAGCCUGAUCCAGCCAUGCCGCGUGAGUGAUGAAGGCCUUAGGGUUGUAAAGCUCUUUUGUCCGGGAAGAUAAUGACUGUACCGGAAGAAUAAGCCCCGGCUAACUUCG
rnacentral:rRNA from 1 species